rnacentral:rRNA from 1 species
AAAUUGAAGAGUUUGAUCAUGGCUCAGAUUGAACGCUGGCGGCAGGCCUAACACAUGCAAGUCGAGCGGUAGCACAGAAGAGCUUGCUCUUUGGGUGACGAGCGGCGGACGGGUGAGUAAUGUCUGGGAAACUGCCUGAUGGAGGGGGAUAACUACUGGAAACGGUAGCUAAUACCGCAUAACCUCGCAAGAGCAAAGAGGGGGACCUUCGGGCCUCUCGCCAUCAGAUGUGCCCAGAUGGGAUUAGCUAGUAGGUGAGGUAAUGGCUCACCUAGGCGACGAUCCCUAGCUGGUCUGAGAGGAUGACCAGCCACACUGGAACUGAGACACGGUCCAGACUCCUACGGGAGGCAGCAGUGGGGAAUAUUGCACAAUGGGCGCAAGCCUGAUGCAGCCAUGCCGCGUGUGUGAAGAAGGCCUUCGGGUUGUAAAGCACUUUCAGCGGGGAGGAAGGCGGUAAGGUUAAUAACCUUGCUGAUUGACGUUACCCGCAGAAGAAGCACCGGCUAACUCCGUGCCAGCAGCCGCGGUAAUACGGAGGGUGCAAGCGUUAAUCGGAAUGACUGGGCGUAAAGCGCACGCAGGCGGUCUGUUAAGUUGGAUGUGAAAUCCCCGGGCUUAACCUGGGAACUGCAUUCAAAACUGACAGGCUAGAGUCUUGUAGAGGGGGGUAGAAUUCCAGGUGUAGCGGUGAAAUGCGUAGAGAUCUGGAGGAAUACCGGUGGCGAAGGCGGCCCCCUGGACAAAGACUGACGCUCAGGUGCGAAAGCGUGGGGAGCAAACAGGAUUAGAUACCCUGGUAGUCCACGCUGUAAACGAUGUCGAUUUGGAGGUUGUGCCCUUGAGGCGUGGCUUCCGGAGCUAACGCGUUAAAUCGACCGCCUGGGGAGUACGGCCGUAAGGUUAAAACUCAAAUGAAUUGACGGGGGCCCGCACAAGCGGUGGAGCAUGUGGUUUAAUUCGAUGCAACGCGAAGAACCUUACCUACUCUUGACAUCCAGAGAACUUAGCAGAGAUGCUUUGGUGCCUUCGGGAACUCUGAAACAGGUGCUGCAUGGCUGUCGUCAGCUCGUGUUGUGAAAUGUUGGGUUAAGUCCCGCACGAGCGCACCCUUAUCCUUUGUUGCCAGCGAUUCGGUCGGGAACUCAAAGGAGACUGCCGGUGAUAAACCGGAGGAAGGUGGGGAUGACGUCAAGUCAUCAUGGCCCUUACGAGUAGGGCUACACACGUGCUACAAUGGCGUAUACAAAGAGAAGCGACCUCGCGAGAGCAAGCGGACCUCAUAAAGUACGUCGUAGUCCGGAUUGGAGUCUGCAACUCGACUCCAUGAAGUCGGAAUCGCUAGUAAUCGUAGAUCAGAAUGCUACGGUGAAUACGUUCCCGGGCCUUGUACACACCGCCCGUCACACCAUGGGAGUGGGUUGCAAAAGAAGUAGGUAGCUUAACCUUCGGGAGGGCGCUUACCACUUUGUGAUUCAUGACUGGGGUGAAGUCGUAACAAGGUAACCGUAGGGGAACCUGCGGUUGGAUCACCUCCUUA